GCCUACGGGGGGCAGCAGUGAGGAAUAUUGGUCAAUGGCCGAGAGGCUGAACCAGCCAAGUCGCGUGAGGGAAGAAUGUCCUAUGGAUUGUAAACCUCUUUUGUCAGGGAGCAAAGUCACCCACGUGUGGGUGUUGGAGAGUACCUGAAGAAAAAGCAUCGGCUAACUCCGUGCCAGCAGCCGCGGUAAUACGGAGGAUGCGAGCGUUAUCCGGAUUUAUUGGGUUUAAAGGGUGCGUAGGCGGGCAUUUAAGCCGGCGGUCAAAUGUCGGGGCUCAACCCCGGCCUGCCGUCGGAACUGGGUGG
rnacentral:rRNA from 1 species